GACGAACGCUGGCGGCGUGCUUAACACAUGCAAGUCGAACGGAAAGGCCCUGCUUUUGUGGGGUGCUCGAGUGGCGAACGGGUGAGUAACACGUGAGUAACCUGCCCUUGACUUUGGGAUAACUUCAGGAAACUGGGGCUAAUACCGGAUAGGAGCUCCUGCUGCAUGGUGGGGGUUGGAAAGUUUCGGCGGUUGGGGAUGGACUCGCGGCUUAUCAGCUUGUUGGUGGGGUAGUGGCUUACCAAGGCUUUGACGGGUAGCCGGCCUGAGAGGGUGACCGGCCCCAUUGGGACUGAGAUACGGCCCCGACUCCUACGGGAGGCAGCAGUGGGGAAUAUUGCCAAAUGGGCGGAAGCCUGAUGCAGCAACGCCGCGUGCGGGAUGACGGCCUUCGGGUUGUAAACCGCUUUCGCCUGUGACGAAGCGUGAGUGACGGUAAUGGGUAAAGAAGCACCGGCUAACUACGUG
rnacentral:rRNA from 1 species